rnacentral:rRNA from 1 species
GAUGAACGCUAGCGGCAGGCCUAAUACAUGCAAGUCGAACGGGAUUGAGGAGCUUGCUCCUCAUGAGAGUGGCGCACGGGUGCGUAACACGUAUGUAACCUACCUUAAUCAGGGGAAUAGCCUCUCGAAAGAGAGAUUAACACCGCAUAAAAUCACACUAUGGCAUCAUAGAAUGAUCAAAUAUUUAUAGGAUUAAGAUGGGCAUGCGGAACAUUAGCUAGUUGGUAAGGUAACGGCUUACCAAGGCUACGAUGUUUAGGGGAUCUGAGAGGAUGGCCCCCCACACUGGUACUGAGACACGGACCAGACUCCUACGGGAGGCAGCAGUAAGGAAUAUUGGUCAAUGGGCGGAAGCCUGAACCAGCCAUGCCGCGUGCAGGAAGACGGCCCUACGGGUUGUAAACUGCUUUUGUACCGGAAUAAACCUUUCUACGUGUAGGAAGCUGAAUGUACGGUAAGAAUAAGGAUCGGCUAACUCCGUGCCAGCCGCCGCAGUAA